rnacentral:rRNA from 1 species
GACUCUCGGCAACGGAUAUCUCGGCUCUCGCAUCGAUGAAGAACGUAGCGAAAUGCGAUACUUGGUGUGAAUUGCAGAAUCCCGCGAACCAUCGAGUCUUUGAACGCAAGUUGCGCCCGAAGCCACUAGGCCGAGGGCACGUCUGCCUGGGUGUCACGCAACGUCGCCAACGCCCGUU